rnacentral:rRNA from 1 species
UGAGCAAUCUGCCCUUCUCAUCGGAAUAAGCGUUGGAAACGAUGUCUAAUGCCGAAUACGACCUCCUUUCGCAUGAUCGGAGGUGGAAAGCUCCGGCGGAGAAGGAUGAGCUCGCGGCCUAUCAGCUAGUUGGUGUGGGUAAUGGCCCACCAAGGCGACGACGGGUAGCCGGCCUGAGAGGGUGACCGGCCACACUGGGACUGAGACACGGCCCAGACUCCUAGGAG